CAUAAAUCAUGAUGUAAUAUAAAAUUUGCAGAAAGCGUGUAAAUGUAAUUGUAGAUCACAUACUUAUGGCCAUAAUCAUGUAGAUCAAUAAAGCCUCUAUAAAGCAUUGAGAAUAUAGAAAUUUUCUUGUAUCCAAUGUAGUUUUGCUCCUUGUAAACCAAAGGGUCUCUCUUGCCCAUCUCCAAAUGGUCAUUGGGAGCUUACCUAAAGAACAAAUCCUGUUAACCAGAGUGUCCCAUGAACAAAAACUACAGUCCAGCUUGAAAGAUGAUUUAAGUCUUUAUGACCAUCUAGUCCCCAGUCAGAAGUCCUUUAAGUUCAGAUGAUUCUCCAUGAACACAAGUAACUGACAGCAAUGUAGAGAAACCCAGGAAAAUAAUGCAACAAUUCUCAGAAACCGUAGAGGCAACUGGAUCACCAGAUCUUCGUUUUAACCCAGAAGAGGAGGAAAACAACUCCUAACACUAUAGCAACAGGAGCCCACUUUCUAAUUAAGGCCUGCCUAUUCAAAUCUCU
rnacentral:misc_RNA from 1 species